GAUGAACGCUGGCGGUCUGCUUAACACAUGCAAGUCGAACGCAACCUUCGGGUUGAGUGGCGGACGGGUGAGUAACGCGUGAGAAUCUGCCUUGGGGUCGGGGACAACCACUGGAAACGGUGGCUAAUACCGGAUAAGCCUUUGGGUAAAAGAUUUAUUGCCCCAAGAGGAGCUCGCGUCUGAUUAGCUAGUUGGUGAGGUAAAAGCUCACCAAGGCAGCGAUCAGUAGCUGGUCUGAGAGGACGAUCAGCCACACUGGGACUGAGACACGGCCCAGACUCCUACGGGAGGCAGCAGUGGGGAAUUUUCCGCAAUGGGCGAAAGCCUGACGGAGCAAGACCGCGUGAGGGAGGAAGGCUCUUGGGUUGUAAACCUCUUUUCUCAGGGAAGAAGCUCUGACGGUACCUGAGGAAUUCAGCCUCGGAUAACUCCGUGCCAGCAGCCGC
rnacentral:rRNA from 1 species